AGAAAAGCAGGAAGGGUGGGUCUGCGGGUCCACACAGAGGGUGUCCAGCUUGCACCACAUCUGUUAUGGGCUGAAUCGUGUCCCCCAAAAUCCGUAGGCUGAAGCCUCAAACCUCAGCACCUCUGAAUGUGACUGAAUUUGGAGAUAGGGUCUUUCCAGAAGUAAUUAAGAUAAAAGAAGGUCAUGGGGUGGGCCCUAAUCCAAUCCGGCUGGUGUCCUUACAAGAAGAGAUUAGGACACACACACACAGGGAAGACCGUUUGAAGACCUGGCGAGGAAAAGAGGCCACCUGCAAGCCAAGGAGAGGGGCCUCAGGAGAAACUAACUUUGCCGGCACCUUGAUCUCAGACUCGUAGCCUCCAGAAGUGUGAAGAACUAAAUGUGUAUUGUUUAAGCCGCCCAGUCUGCAGACUUUGUGAUGGCAGCCCUGGUGGAUGAAUUCACUGCUUAAGUUUGCAGGCACCCCCUACGCUUUCUUCCCUCACCUUGCUUCAUUCUUCUGCUGCAUGUAUUACUGCUGGCUGUGCCCAGCGCUUCAUUCCUGUCUUUCGUCUGUCUCCCGAGGCUGUUCCCUUCCAGUCAGCCUCCUGCGGGUGGGCUGUCUCAUCCUUCCUGCCGCAGGCCCGGUGACUAGAACAGCACCUCACAUACAAAAGGUGCUUGGCCAUGGCGGGCAUUUGUUGAAUGAAAGAAAGUUUUCCAAAUCUCUUCUUUCUAAUGUUCUUCUCUGGUUUCUUCUCCUCUGCUCACCUCUUAACUCCAAGGCCUCAUCUCAGCUACAUUUGGGGAUAUUUUCCACUCCCUGCUUGGACCCAGAGUCCGGCUGAGGUCAUGUGGCGAGGUCAGAUAUUCUGAAAGUGAAUGCGUCCCCACUUUUGAGUGCCCCUUCUGGGUAGGCCAUUCCAGGAGGGCCUUAUAGGAAGUGCAAGGGAGACGGGCUUGAGCUGAGUUGGACGCACAGUGAGGGAUAUGUGUGUGAGAGACAGAGAGAGAGAGGGAGAGGGGAGACAGACACACAGAGAGACAGAGACAGAGAGACAGAGACAUAGGGGAACACAGGCAGAGAGAGACAGAGCUACAGAGAGAGACAGAGACAGAGAGACAGAGACAUAGGGGAACACAGGCAGAGAGAGAUAGAGCUACAGAGAGAGACAGAGGCACACAGAGAGAGACAGAGGCACACAAAGAGAGACAGAGACCAACAGAGCAUUGACAGAGGUCCACAGAGACAGAGCUACAGACAGACAGAGCGUGCACGGCGCACAUGUAUAUAAAGCCUGUGGGGCGCCUUUUCUUUUCACAUAGUGUGAUCCAGUCCUAUCAAUUACUAGGAUAUUGGCAUUUGUGAUCAUUGCGUCGUCUGGAAUUUUUUUCUGGAAAAAAGAGGAAACACAGCCAUCUGCCCAGAGCCAUCCAGAAUGUGUCCCAGAGGCCUGUCGGUGUGUACGCGCACUCAGAAGCCUGGGGGCCCUUUCCUUGUCUAAAUGUAGCUCCCCCACCGCGUCCCACCCCUGCACAGGAGCGAGGCCUGUGUCAACUUCAGCAGAGCGAGAAUGAGGACAGGCCCAGGGGCAGGGAACUGGACGAAGGGAGUUGGAGGCCUUUUCUUGGGAAUGGGUGGACCAUUGCCCUGCAUGGGGACAGGGACGGCACUGGUGGGGGAAGGAAAUCUUGAGCUGGUUUCGGCCUUGACCCUCAGCAGCUAGCCCCGGGAGCUGUCAUUCUCUGGACGCCAGGGCCUUGGGUUCCUUGGACGAGGUGCAUCCCAGCACAGAAGGGCAGCACAGAGGCAGCCUGAGAAGAUUCUGUCGCUGCCAGGUCACCAGGACCUCUGGACCACAGCUGGGUUGCGCUGUUUUCCAGUUUGUGAAACUAGGACUUUGGGGAACAUCCUGUGAAUUGGUGUAAUUUUGAUUUUCCUGGAGGAUUUUUGAGGUCAGCGUGACUGCUGUCACUGUAAGUGUGGGUGUGCUUUCCCACAAGAAGCAUCCUGAGUCUGCGGGAAGGUGGGGACUUCCCAGUUUGGGGGCCUGAGGGUCCCUUCCAGGGAGCUGCAGUGACCGAGCCACCUGGGUCUCAUCCUCAUUAAGGAAAGCAUGCUGCAGGUGAUGGUGGACAAGCUGCACUUUGUUGCCGCCUUCCCCUCAAGGGACUCAGGGCUCUUCAAAGGCAGCUCGCUUUGAUUGCCCCACCCCCUCGUUAGGGGACUGUCCCUAGCUUUUCAUUCCGUGGUUUUGCUUCCCAGGCAGUGACUGUUCUGAGGAACCUAUUCGUCCACAGCCCCACUUUCGCCUCUAAAAGGAGCUGGAAUGGCUCCUUACUGCCCUCCUGCCAGGCCCUCGACUGAAUCCAAUAUAGAGACCUUUAUAGGCACUAAUUAUAACUAAGGACUGCAUGCUGUGUUUUAUGGGCAAGUCUUCCCUGCUCUGUUUAACGUCCUAGCAGAAACCUCAUAACAAAUUAACAUUUAUAUGGGCCCGUUAAUCUUCAAAGCGUUUCACUGACUUGAGUCAAUUCCAGUGACCCUCGUGGGCAGUAAUAAGCCUUUUAGGACUCCUAUCCUUUUCCCUUCUCCUUCUACUUCUUUGUAGAUAAAGAAAAAGCAAACCCAGAGAAACGUGUCAUGCUCUGUGUGAGCUCCUGCAUCAGAGCUGCGGGUGGCUUUGGCUGGGCGGUGUUCCAGGCGUCUGGUUUCAUGCUCUGACCAACACACGCCUCCCCUCAAAGCUGCCGUGGAAGGGCUCAAAGCCGCGUUUCAUUCCCAAAGCCUUUGACUAACUCUGAACAAGCUGCUUUUCAUUAGGCACGCACACAAGCCUGCACACGCACGUGCAUACAUGCAUGCACACACCUCUCUCAAACUGGAUAAGAGGUUUCUGUGUGAGGGGUGGGGAAUAGAGGGAGCUGGAAUUCUCUGCAGAGCCCCUGUCAGCUGAGCAGGGUGUGUACUGGCCGCUGGGUUCAGUGUGUGUUGACCAGGGGCCCGCCCCCUUCCCGCUUCAGUCCAGCUCAGGUGUCAGUUGACGGCUUGUGUGUGCGGAGCCAGGCUGAGUUAUAGAGCCUUAUACUUUAUUUCCAAACCUGCAAUUCCACCCGCGUUUUUGUCAGUUAAUUACAUACAGAGCCCCUUUAUUUGCAGGGAAAUAUGUGAGCGGAGUUCUUUGUGGGUGUGGACGAGGCAGCUCUCACUCCUGCGAGGACGCGUCCAGCUCCUUGAGGAGUACGGUGGCAGGGAAGGGGACAGCACUGUCAUGGAGUCAGAUCUGAAUCACGUCCACGGAGCGGUUUACUUUGGGAACUACCUCCUAUACAUUUCAAAUUCCACGUUGGUCCCCAUUUGCUACUCUUUCAGAACUAAAAUAAAAUCCGAAGUCCCCCAAGUGACUGAACAGACCCCCUCUUGGCCAAGGGGACCCCAGAGAAACCUGAAAGCUGAGCUCCCAGCCAUGAGGGGACGGGUGAUCGGACACGCUUCAUCACAGUCCCUCCCCUUUGUGGUUUAGACGACGAUGAUCGGCUGUCAUGCUAAAAUAGAGACACGAGACCGACAGCACAGACUCCUUAUGGCAAUAAGACACCAAAUUAUAAGCAGCACCUCAGGCCAUGCCAGGCAAGGGUCGAGCCGCGCACUCUACACUUGGAGAACGGACUCUGCUCUCACACCACAGCGUCGUCUUUUUCUCCAGCAGCUAAACACGCACCGGCCCCGAGAUUCAAACGACUGCAGCUCAUCCACCUGCAGACGCUGGCUGACCCCGUUCCACAGCUGUGACUAUAGCUUUGAUUGGACAAGAGGCUGAUUUCAGUCUCCUGGUAAGAGACCACCAACCAUAGACCUGGUUCCGGCUGAUUAUAGAAGCUGCACACUUGUAUGCCUUCGAGUCCCUGCCUCACCUUUUGACGUGUAGGGACUCAUUGUAAUGCUUUUAAAUGUGAAGCCUCCACCCCAGAGUGAACAUGGGACGCAUGUAACGUGCAUGUUCAGUGGGCACGGCUCAGGACUCUCUUUGUGAAUAUUCAUAGCUCCUCCUGGAACCUGAAUAUGUAUGUUUGGCCAGCUCAGUUCAGCAUGAGGCUCCUGCCGCAACGCCCCCUCCUUCCAGGAGCCUGCCAGCUGUUUCUGCCAGAGGCUGCGUCUCCCAGCCUGUCAGAAUGGCCACCCUGCAGGCUGUAAUCCUUUAGAAGAAAUAAAGAUCCCCUUUCCAGAUGUAUAGAUAUUGUGAUUUUUUUCCAUUCACAUCCUUGCAUCUUAUAAUGCCCUGUCUCCAUGGGGGUUACAUAGAAAGCCCUCAGCCUCUAGGGCAGAUGGAGCCAGGACUGAGGGUGGGGGUGGAGAAGGAUCAGGAGACUCACUUCAAGGACUUUCUGGUGCCGGCAGUGUAGGCUUGCCAGAUGAAAUACAGGACACCCAGCAACAUGAACUUUCAUAAUUUUUAUAGUGUAAGUGUGUUCCAAAUAUUGCAUGGGACAUGCUUAUCCUGAAGAAUUAUUCAUUGUUUAUCUGCAACCCAAAUUUAACUAGGUGUCCUGUAUUUUUAUUUGCUAAAUCUGGUGACCCUUCACUGGGGAGACGCUUUUAAACAGCCUCAACUUAGAAAUUCUUCUCUUCCUGCCAAAAGCGCUAGGGUCUAUAUAUGGGUGCAUGGAAACACGAAAUUAUUGUCACAGGACUGAAGAGUAUGAAAGACUUCUAGUAACCACCAGCUGUGGCAGGGGCCUGUGCAGGGGGUACCCUGGCAGGGAGGAAGCUGCCUUAAUUUUCAACCUCGGACAGAAAAGCGCAUCUGUCAGACACAGCAGAAAGCAGACCUACAUGUAUGGUUAAUGAGGACUGUGUAUUUGACUGCUGUGGGUUCAAUUGUGUCCCUGCGAGAGAUACAUUGAAGUCCUAACCCCUGCUGCUUCGGCAUUUGGCUUUAUUUGGAAAUAGGGUCACUGCCAGUGCAGUUAGCUGAGAUGAAAUCAUACUGGUGUCUGGUGGGCCCUUAUUCCAAUAUGACUCGUGAUAUCACAAGAAGAGGAGGACAGACACAGAGACACACUCCAGAGGGAGAAGGCCACGUGACAGCCACGGACUGCUGGAAGCAGCGGAAUCUAAAGGCAAGGCAGGGAACAGAUUCUCCCUCCCAGUCCUUCGAGAGAACCAACUCUGCCGACAGCUUGAUUUCAGAAUUCUGGUUUCCAGAACG